GCACUCAGGCUCAAAAAGGUUCGCCAUCACUCCCCUAGAUGAAUCUUUCAAGACCAAGGUGAAAACCACUUUGGCAUAGACGGCAUGGUUCUCGGCUGAGGUGGUGACGGGUUGAGAUCCCCUGGCAGUAAUUCCUUGAUGGGCAUAUCUCAACAUAUUCUCGAACACUGGCUUACCAUUGUGUUGGAGGGCCGGGGGCUAAGGCAAACUGG